CAAAAUUGAAACUAUUUAAUUUAUUGAAAAUAAGCUUGUGUCCGCACGUGUUGUUGUACCUGACUCUGAACGCGGACCGUGACUCAUCAACAUCCGGGAGCUCUGUUUCAGCUGAAGCCUCGACACUUUCUAACAUAUUCAACCUAAUACCGCCAUUACUUUUGUCCUGGAAAACGUUUGAAGGUUUUAUUCAUACUUCGUGACCUGUUCCUUGCGUUUGGAGUCGGUUUGGAGACACUUUUGAAGGAAAAAAACAGCGAGUCGAGUGUGGCUAACGGCGGAGCUAAAGAGCUAACGGCUAAGCUAAAGCUAAGCUAACACUAGCCGCUGUUCACUUUGAGGCUAGCGUUGUGUAGGAUUAAGGCUCCAGGCUGUAGCUCCAGUGGAUAAAUCCUGAGACAGUGGGACAUGGACGUAAAGCCUGACCUGCUGUACCUCGAGAAGAAGACGAAGCAGACGCUCAACAACAGGUUCUCGGAGGUCCGGAUGGAGCAGAUGACCAAGAGGAAAGUCCUGUAUAAAGGCCGUCAGCGCUCGAUGGUGCUGCGCCUGCGGAACAUCCCCCGAUCGCAGGUCCAGGGGGCGACUCCGAGGGGCAGCGUCUGGACACGGAUUGGCUGGGACCGUCCCUGGAAGAGCGGCAUCUGGAACUUCAGGAACAAAUACCGUCACAGGGUUCGCUUCAACCCCGCCUCCAGGUCAAAGUUCCGGUUCAGCCCCGCCCACAGCGGCAGGUUCAGCCCCGCCCACAGCGGCAGGUUUGUGUCGCUGCGGAAGUCGCGGUUCAGCCGGACGCCUAAAGGUGCGUUUCCUUCAGUCUGGUUUUAUUUUGAAAGGGCUGUACCUUUGUUAC
rnacentral:lncRNA from 1 species